rnacentral:rRNA from 1 species
UACAGAGGUCUCAAGCGUUGUUCGGAAUCACUGGGCGUAAGGGGCGCGUAGGCGGCGUUUUAAGUCGGGGGUGAAAGCCUGUGGCUCAACCACAGAAUUGCCUUCGAUACUGGGACGCUUGAGUGUGGUAGAGGUUGGUGGAACUGCGAGUGUAGAGGUGAAAUUCGUAGAUAUUCGCAAGAACACCGGUGGCGAAGGCGGCCAACUGGACCAUCACUGACGCUGAGGCGCGAAAGCGUGGGGAGCAAACAGG